rnacentral:rRNA from 1 species
UGGCGGACGGGUGAGUAACGCGUAAAGAACUUGCCCUUUAGACUGGGAUAACAGAGGGAAACUUCUGAUAAUACUGGAUAAGUUAGUAUAUCGCAUGAUAUGCAAAUGAAAGCUACGGCACUAAAGGAGAGCUCUGCGUCCUAUUAGCUAGUUGGUAAGGUAAGAGCUUACCAAGGCGAUGAUAGGUAGCCGGCCUGAGAGGGUGGACGGCCACAAGGGGACUGAGAUACGGCCCUUACUCCUACGGGAGGCAGCAGUC